rnacentral:rRNA from 1 species
CCUACGGGGUGCAGCAGUGGGGAAUAUUGCGCAAUGGGCGAAAGCCUGACGCAGCGACGCCGCGUGAGGGAUGAAGGUCUUCGGAUCGUAAACCUCUGUCAGCAGGGAAGAACGGUCACUGUGCUAAUCAGCAGUGAAUUGACGGUACCUGCAAAGGAAGCACCGGCUAACUCCGUGCCAGCAGCCGCGGUAAUACGGAGGGUGCGAGCGUUAAUCGGAAUUACUGGGCGUAAAGCGCUCGUAGGCGGUAUGUCAAGUCAAGGGUGAAAUCCCCGCGCUCAACGUGGGAACUGCCUUUGAAACUGGCAAACUGGAGUGUGUGAGAGGAUAGUGGAAUUCCAGGUGUAGGAGUGAAAUGCGUAGAUAUCUGGAGGAACAUCAGUGGCGAAGGCGACUAUCUGGCACAUAACUGACGCUGAGGAGCGAAAGCGUGGGUAGCAAACAGGAUUAGAUACCCGGGUAGUC